AACGAUGGAKCCCUCCUUGUMUAGGUGGAUUASYGGCGAACGGGUGAGUAACACGGGAGUAACCUGCCCUUAACUCUGGGAUAAGCCUGGCAAACUGGGUCUAAUACCGGAUAGGAGCGCCUACCGCAUGGUGGGUGUUGGAAAGAUUUAUCGGUUUUGGAUGGACUCGCGGCCUAUCAGCUUGUUGGUGAGGUAAUGGCUCACCAAGGCGACGACGGGUAGCCGGCCUGAGAGGGUGACCGGCCACACUGGGACUGAGACACGGCCCAGACUCCUACGGGAGGCAGCAGUGGGGAAUAUUGCACAAUGGGCGCAAGCCUGAUGCAGCGACGCCGCGUGAGGGAUGACGGCCUUCGGGUUGUAAACCUCUUUCAGWAGGGAAGAAGCGAAAGUGACGGUACCUGCAGAAGAAGCACCGGCUAACUACGUGCCAGCAGCCGCGGWAAUACGUAGGGUGCGAGCGUUAUCCGGAAUUAUUGGGCSUAAAGAGCUCGUAGGCGGUUUGUCGCGUCUGUCGWGAAAGUCCGGGGCUUAACCCCGGAUCUGCGGUGGGUACSGGAAGAC
rnacentral:rRNA from 1 species